rnacentral:misc_RNA from 1 species
UUAAGUUCAGCGGGUAGUCCUACCUGAUUUGAGAUCGAACGGUCAAAAAGCUGUCUUCACUGAGGAGAGACAUUUAUAAGCUCCAGCGAACCUCUGUCACCAAAGGUUACUCAGCAGACAACCACAAGCGUAGAUAGUUAUCACACCUGUGACACCACCAAAUACUGGUAAGCUGAUUCAUUUGAGAGGAGCUGACCACA